GGGAAUCUGGUUCGAAUCCAGAGCUGACCCGCAACCGUGAAGGCCCCUCGGGGCCACAGCCGGAAUGCC
rnacentral:ncRNA from 1 species